rnacentral:rRNA from 1 species
CACGUAGGAGGCGAACGUUAUCCGGAUUUACUGGGCGUAAAGCGCGUGCAGGCGGUUUGUCAAGUUGGAUGUGAAAGCUCCUGGCUUAACUGGGAGAGGUCGUUCAAAACUGACAGACUAGAGAAUGGGAGAGGGAGGUGGAAUUCCGGGUGUAGUGGUGAAAUGCGUAGAUAUCCGGAGGAACACCAGUGGCGAAAGCGGCCUCCUGGACCACUUCUGACGCUAAGACGCGAAAGCUAGGGUAGCAAACGGG